rnacentral:rRNA from 8 species
CAUGCAAGUCGAACGGAAACCUUCGGGUUUUAGUGGCGAACGGGUGAGUAACACGUAAGCAACCUACCCUAAAGACGAGGAUAACCAUUGGAAACAGUGGCUAAGACUGGAUAGGAAGAUAAAAGGCAUCUUGUAUCUUUUAAAAGACCUAGUUAAUAGGUAUGCUUUAGGAGGGGCUUGCGCCAUAUUAGUUAGUUGGUAGGGUAAUGGCCUACCAAGACGAUGAUGUGUAGCUGGACUGAGAGGUUGAACAGCCACAUUGGGACUGAGACACGGCCCAAACUCCUACGGGAGGCAGCAGUAGGGAAUUUUCGGCAAUGGAGGAAACUCUGACCGAGCAACGCCGCGUGAAUGACGAAGUACUUCGGUAUGUAAAGUUCUUUUAUCGAGGAAGAAAAGCAAAUGGCGAACCAUUUGUUUGCCGGUACUUGAUGAAUAAGCCCCGGCUAAUUAUGUGCCAGCAGCCGCGGUAAGACAUAAGGGGCAAGUGUUAUCCGGAAUUAUUGGGCGUAAAGGGUGCGUAGGCGGUCUAGUAAGUCAGUGGUGUAAUGGCAACGCUUAACGUUGUCCGGCUAUUGAAACUGCUAAACUUGAGUUAGAUAGAGGCGAGUGGAAUUCCAUGUGUAGCGGUAAAAUGCGUAAAUAUAUGGAGGAACACCAGAGGCGUAGGCGGCUCGCUGGGUCUUAACUGACGCUGAGGCACGAAAGCGUGGGGAGCAAACAGGAUUAGAUACCCUGGUAGUCCACGCCGUAAACGAUGAGUACUAAGUGUCGGGUUAAACCGGUACUGAAGUUAACACAUUAAGUACUCCGCCUGAGUAGUACGUACGCAAGUAUGAAACUUAAAGGAAUUGACGGGACUCCGCACAAGCGGUGGAUCAUGUUGUUUAAUUCGAAGAUACCCGAAAAACCUUACCAGGUCUUGACAUGUUUUUGCAAAAUGAUAGUAAUAUCGUGGAGGUUACCAGAAACACAGGUGGUGCAUGGUUGUCGUCAGCUCGUGUCGUGAGAUGUUAGGUUAAGUCCUAAAACGAGCGAAACCCUUAUCGUUAGUUGCCAGCACGUUAUGGUGGGGACUUUAACGAGACUGCCAAUGAUAAAUUGGAGGAAGGUGAGGAUCACGUCAAAUCAGCAUGCCCCUUAUGACCUGGGCUACAAACGUGAUACAAUGGCUGUUACAAAGGGUAGCUGAAACGCAAGUUCUUGGCCAAUCCCCAAAAACAGUCCCAGUCCGGAUUGAAGUCUGCAACUCGACUUCAUGAAGUUGGAAUCGCUAGUAAUCGCGAAUCAGCAUGUCGCGGUGAAUACGUUCUCGGGGUUUGUACACACCGCCCGUCAAACCACGAAAGUUGGCAAUACCCCAAAACGGUAGCCUAACUCGUUUAUUCGAGAGGGCGCCGUCUAAGGUAGGGUCGAUGAUUGGGGUUAAG